AUGAGUUACUCUGAUAGUAGCUAUGUUAGUUUCUCCCAAGAUUACAUUUGAUACAAUUAGUGGAAUGACCUCUUUCAGAAGAUAAAACUGAAAUUCAGAUGUUUUCAGAAAGGUUAAAUGCAUCAGGCAAUUGUGGUGUAAGAAGCAGGAGGUAGAAGAAUGAGGAUAAGCAGCAUUUGCUGAUGUGUUUCACUCAUUGAAACAAAAAGCAACAUAGAGCAUCUCUAACAUAAGAUUGCCUAAAGCAAGCUAUGAAGUAUAAAGAGGCUGCAUGUGCUGAGGUCGAUACGAUGCAUGAAACUACGCUGUGCUGAUGAGAAGAGUAAGCAGCAUUAAAUCACACACACAUAUACACAGACAGACAUUUUAUCAUCAGGGAGCUCUACAGCAAAGCCAUGAACUACAGCUACCUAAAAUACAGCGAGAUAUGUUAAUCCAAAAUGAAAGCAAGAAAAGGAUGCAAUACAAUUUUAUGCUAAAUCAUUUUAGUAGAGCACAAAAGAACUCUUCAUUUUGUCUUUUUAACUCAUAACCAAGUAUCAAAACUAGAGGAUAUACAAGUGGAUUCCUCCUGUUUCUGGAAAUAACCUGACAGCCACAAGAGCCAGCAGGAC